rnacentral:tRNA from 2 species
GCCCCCGUAGCUCAGCUGGAGAGAGCAACGGACUUCUAAUCCGUGGGUCAGAGGUUCGAAUCCUCUCGGGGGUA